CCGUUGCCGGCGACGGCGCACGGGUGAGUAACACGUAUGCAACCUGCCCGUGGCAAGGGGGAUAAGCGGGGAAACCCCGUCUAAUACCGCGUAACGCGGCCUUGGGGCAUCCCAAGGCCGCCAAAGGGAGCAAUCCCGGCCACGGAUGGGCAUGCGGCGCAUUAGCUAGUCGGCGGGGUAACGGCCCACCGAGGCGACGAUGCGUAGGGGUUCUGAGAGGAAGGCCCCCCACACUGGUACUGAGACACGGACCAGACUCCUACGGAAGGCAGCAG
rnacentral:rRNA from 1 species